rnacentral:rRNA from 1 species
UACAUAUGUGGCGAGCGUUACUCGGAAUCACUAGGCGUAAAGCGCGUGUAGGCGGGUGCUUAAGUCCGCUGUGAAAUCUCCCGGCUCAACUGGGAGGGGUCAGCGGAUACUGGGCGUCUAGAGUGGGGUAGGGGGCAGCGGAAUUCCCGGUGUAGUGGUGAUAUGCGUAGAUAUCGGGAGGAACACCAGUGGCGAAGGCGGCUUUCUGGGCAUUUCCUGACGCUGAGACGCGAAAGCGUGGGGAGCGAACCGG